GACGAACGCUGGCGGCGUGCUUAACACAUGCAAGUCGAACGGAGUGGCGAACGGGUAAGUAACACGUGGGUGACCUGCCCUGCACUUCGGGAUAAGCCUGGGAAACUGGGUCUAAUACCGGAUAGUGUGGGAUGGGCCCGCGCCCUAUCAGCUUGUUGGUGGGGUAGUGGCCUACCAAGGCGGCGACCGGUCGCCGGCCUGAGAGGGUGGACGGCCACAUGUGGACUGAGACACGGCCCAGACUCCGACGGGAGGCAGCAGUGGGGAAUAUUGCACGCUGGGCGGGAGCCUGAUGCAGCGACGCCGGGUGGGUGAUGACGGCCUUCGGGUUGUAAACUGCUUUCACCAUCGACGCGGUAGAUGAAGAAGAAGCACCGGCUAACUACGUGCCAGCAGCCGCGGUAAUAC
rnacentral:rRNA from 1 species